rnacentral:rRNA from 1 species
AGAGUUUGAUCCUGGCUCAGAAUCAACGCUGGCGGCGUGCCUCAGACAUGCAAGUCGAACGAUUAAAGCUCUCUUCGAGAGUGCAUAAAGUGGCGCACGGGUGAGUAACACGUAAGUAAUCUACCCUCGGGUGGGGAAUAACAUCGGGAAACCGAUGCUAAUACCGCAUAAUGCAGCGGCACCGCAAGGUGACAGUUGUUAAAGGAGUAAUUCGCCCGAGGAGGAGCUUGCGGCAGAUUAGCUAGUUGGUAAGGUAAUGGCUCACCAAGGCUACGAUCUGUAACCGGUCUAAGAGGACGGUCGGUCACACUGACACUGAAUAACGGGUCAGACUCCUACGGGAGGCAGCAGUCGGGAAUUUUGGGCAAUGGGCGAAAGCCUGACCCAGCAACGCCGCGUGAAGGAUGAAGUAUUUCGGUAUGUAAACUUCGUAAGAAUAGGAAGAAUAAUGACGGUACUAUUGUAAGGUCCGGCUAACUACGUGCAAGCAGCCGCGGUAAUAC